CACCAGCACGGCCGCGGGACAGCUCCGCACCGCCAGCUUCUGCGGGAGGGAAGCAGAGAGAGGCGCGUCGUCACCCCAUGGCCCGCGGCGCUCCCGGCCGCAGCCCCGCCGCUGGGCGGCGGUGGGCGCCGCGUCCCGGUGCGGGGGUCCGGAGGGCGGCCGGGACGCUGCGGUCCUCACACUGCCGAGCCCGCCCCUGCCCCGCUCCGGCCCGCAGCACGGGGCUGGUGGUGUUGCGGUGUGCGUCAGGAACAGCAAAACGCGGCUUUUCAGGUGUUUCAAGCUACCUCUUCUCCAGAGCACCCAUCCCAACUCUCAGUCUGGCUGUUUCUCUUCACAGCUCUGAGAUCACUGCCGAGCAGCUGCCCUCACCUGUAGCACCCAGGUAUGGUAUCUAAGAGCUGCGUCAGAGGUCUGUGUAGCCGUGUGGAGGGGCCACACCAUACGUGUUAGUAUUGGUUGUCAAACGCUCAGUUCCAAAAAGCAACAGCUUUAUGGAGAUGUUGCACUUGGAUUGAUGUCAGAAGCUGUUCUUAAGAAUGCUGUUUUAGGCAGGCUGGGUACAGAUAUAGACUGUUCCCAGCCUCAUCUGAUACUCAGAAGUACUAAGCAUCUCAUUUCUUCUAGAGUUGGAAGUAAAGGUGAGUCCUGUAAAGACUUCUGCCCAUGGUUGAUUUUACGCACUUUAUAGUGCUGUCAGCUAGAGGUUGCAUCUAAUGUGUGCGUAGCCUUUCAGGAAGGCUCCCCAUGUUUCUAGGACUGCUGCUGUACCGGUAAGAGUUUUGUUUGUAGCCUGUUUUAAAUACACUGUAUAUAUUGGCACAUGUACUGAACAAACAUGUUCAGUUCCUUUCAGAAUCACGUCUGAAAACAGCACUUCUGGGAAUAACGCAGAAGCCCCAUAGUUCCAAACUGACUUUUACGGAAAUUCCUUCCUCCUUAUCUUUAAACUCACGACAUACUUUAAAAGCCCAAUGGUCUAAUUUGUUUGCUCUGGGGGCCAUAAGUAUGUUUAUAUGAAAUCGCAAGCAUGUAUUUUAUUACAGAUACCUGCUUCAUAUUUUAAUGUAAAGAAACAUUGAUCUUUCUUCUAAUAUAUCAGCAUUAUUGUACUGAUUGUGGUGGCUUCAUAUAAAUCAUUUUAAAUUUUGCACACUUUUUGUUUUCAUGUUUUUUUUUCCUCUUCUACCACACUGGCAUGUGGGAAAUGUUGCUUAUGACAAAAUUCUAUAAAAUUCUGUUCUGUGUGAGUAAUGUGUUGUUACAGGUGCAGCACGGCUGCAUGCAGGAGAGCUGAGCGCUGCCUCUUCCCACCUACUGAGAACUUCCCUGCAUAGCACCUUACAAAUCUGCAGCACAAUGCAGAGUUCUCAGAAGCAGAAAACUUCCAAGGAAACAAAACUCCAUGAUCCCAAAAGAUAUUUCUGCUAGCUCAGUGGAAAAGGCAAGUAAAUAAGUAGGGGGUAGGUUAUCACUUUCCUGACAGAAUUUAAUAGGAAAGCAUCCUAAGAAGUACAAAAGCAGAAAUUUUGAAAGAAAAAAGAGAAUAAUUCACUACUCAAGCUACCAUCCAUCCUUUUUCCGCUUUUCUCCCUACAUGCGUUAACUGUGAAUUAGUUUUGCACAUCUUUGCAUGUGAUGUGUCAACGUUUUCCCAAUAAACUGACAAAAGUGUCUAUUUGCGUGCAGCAAUGACAAAAAAGUGAAGGAAAUAAGGGCUACUGCUUGUUUCAAAAUCUAAUUUGAGAUAAAUAUUAAAUGCUUUUAAUCCUGACCAUUCCAAAACCUAUUUAGGUUUUGGAGCUUUUUAAAGAAAAUACAGAAAAUACUGAAAGAGUUCUGUCCCUGCAGUGGGCUUGAAAGGACCCAUCAGCCUCUGCCAGUCACCUCCACAGGGAACCAUGUCAUGCAGAUCUUAUUUAAAUAACUGCAAAUUUUAGAAACCGCCUGUGAAAGCGUGGGCAACAGAUCAGGUCUUCCAAAUUUGUUUCCAGAAGAGUUACAGAAAGAUUGUGUGUUUGAAGAAAUGCAGCUACAAAACCUUUUCUGUGUCUCAUUUAAAAAUUUUCUGAAAAUGUACCUUCUGAAACUUUAGAAAAGCCCCUUUUAGUCAGAUUGGGCAAGUAGAAGAAGAGAUCUUAUACUGUUUUCUUUAUAAUGACCAUUUUUAUUCCUUGGCCCCAUUAAGGCAUUGAUGAAGAUACGUUGGUCGGCACACGGGUUAUGAUAUGAGAAUAAAUCCCCACACAACUUGCAUUCCAAACCUGUAUUCUAUUUCUGCCAGAUUAAUUACAAGAAUAGUCUUGUGUUUUCAAGUGAGGCAAAAUCUGCAAUUUGAGAAUCAGUUAGCAGAACUUAUUCACUGACACUUUUGGAAUAGUGGAUAGUAAGAAAUGAAGCAUGCUUUGGACACUGCAGUGGAGAAUGUGCUGAUAUAAUGGAAGAGCCAAAAAAAGGGAAGGGGGAGGGGGGAAGAAAAAAGAAAAACCGAUUGGCUCUACGUGCUGGAAAGCAGGUUGCUGCUUCCCACCCACAGCACCCCAGCCCUCACAAUACGCCAAUUUUGAAGCCACGCCUUUUCAAUAGCAGGACAACUUCCAUUUUCACUGCAGGAUGCCACAGGCAAACCAGAGUUUGCAAUACAUAUGCUGGUCACACGCAAGCCCACUCCAACAUGCGGGAAGGCUGCUGCUUGUUUAUGACUUUCCAUCUUGGAUGUGGAAUGGUUUCAGCUAUUCAAAGCAGAGCUAAUCUUUUUUCCAUAUGUACCAACAUAGCCCUGGCCCUCCUUUCCCACACAGGCUUACACAUGAGAAGUAAGUAUCUGCUCACGCAGAUUGUGGCUUCUCCCAGGUACGUGCCUCCCAACAGCCCCUCAUGUUUUCAUAGUAGAAUACAAGAUGCUCAGAAGGGCCCUAAAACACACUGUCCAUCAUGUUUAUACUUUUAACGCCUAUGCUGGAGAUAGAGUCUUCAGUCCAUUAAUCUCUCUCAAAUGAUGCUCUCCUGACAAAGUGGUUUUGCUGUGAAAAAUUGCAAUUGUUUUCAAAGCAAUAUGAGUCCUUCCUAGCAGCCUCAUGGCCAAGAGAAAACCCUUAGAACAACCCCGAGAGUUUAGUCAGCUUUCAAAAGAGCAGCACUCCACUUCCAGACUGAAAUGACAGCUUCUCAAUUAGUAAUUUAGAACUGGUCACUAAUGUAAAGCCCUGCAUGACAAACAGCUGAGCAGACUCCUCUGGCCACAUGGGCCAUGACCUCUGUUAAUUUACUCUUUUGUCACAUCAACAGUCACUUGAACAAUGGGAUAUUUAAUAUUCCAGGAGUGACAACACAGAAAGGCACUGUGACCACUAGCCAUAGCACUUUGGUAUCGUGUUUUAGGAUUUUGGUUCAAUCCUGUGGAUUAUCAUACACAUCCAAGCUGCUACUUACUGGUGCUGCCUGAUCUGAGGAUUAGCCAGCUACCCACCCUUAAACACCAAGGCAGAAAGAUAUGGGGCCGAGCAUGCAGGCGGAUGCAAAUGUGGGUACUGAAAGGAGCCUGCUGGGUGUUAAUGGAGGAGAAGGACCUCGUGGGGUGUGCUUAAUCCCAAGGCUCCCCCCAGAAAUGCUCCUCUUUGCAUACAGCCCUGAGUGAGAGGCUGCCUGUCCCAAGGAGAGGACAUUAAGGCGUGUUUCCCUGCAACCAAGGAUGGAGACACUUGCAGGGAAAAGUUUUAGGCACCGUUCCUGAAAUGCAGUUUUCCCAUGUAGUGAUGUGCAGGUGUUGCAACUGGGGGGCGGGCAAGGAGGAAGAAGAAGAGGAGAAGGAGGAGGAGGAGGAAGAAGAGGAGGAAGUGAAGAAAAGAAGGAGGAGGAGAAGGAGGAGGAGGAAGUGAAGAGAAGGAGAAGCAGA